AAGUCGUAACAAGGUUUCCGUAGGUGAACCUGCGGAAGGAUCAUUAUCGAGAGAGGGGCUUCGCGCUCCCGGGGGUUUCGGCCCCCAACUCUUCACCCAUUGUCAACUUACCCUUGUUGCUUUGGCCGGAUUCCGGGGUAUGUCUUGCCGUGGUUUGACUUCAUAAACCCGUGCGAGAUGUGCCCCGGCAGCCCAGCCCAGGUAAAGGCCCCAUUAAAAUCUGUUUAUCAGUGAUGUCCGAGUAAAAGACCAAUAAUAAAAA
rnacentral:misc_RNA from 1 species